UAGGGAAUCUUCGGCAAUGGGGGGAACCCUGACCGAGCAACGCCGCGUGAGUGAAGAAGGUUUUCGGAUCGUAAAGCUCUGUUGUUAAGGAAGAACGAGUGUGAGAAUGGAAAGUUCAUGCUGUGACGGUACUUAACCAGAAAGGGACGGCUAACUACGUGCCAGCAGCCGCGGUAAUACGUAGGUCCCGAGCGUUGUCCGGAUUUAUUGGGCGUAAAGCGAGCGCAGGCGGUUAGAAAAGUCUGAAGUGAAAGGCAGUGGCUCAACCAUUGUAGGCUUUGGAAACUGUUGAACUUGAGGGCAGAAGGGGAGAGUGGAAUUCCAUGUGUAGCGGUGAAAUGCGUAGAUAUAUGGAGGAACACCGGUGGCGAAAGCGGCUCUCUGGUCUGUAACUGACGCUGAGGUUCGAAAGCGUGGGAGCGAACAGG
rnacentral:rRNA from 1 species